AGUGAACGCUGGCGGUAGGCCUAACACAUGCAAGUCGAACGGCAGCACAGUAAGAGCUUGCUCUUACGGGUGGCGAGUGGCGGACGGGUGAGGAAUACAUCGGAAUCUACUUUUUCGUGGGGGAUAACGUAGGGAAACUUACGCUAAUACCGCAUACGACCUACGGGUGAAAGCAGGGGAUCUUCGGACCUUGCGCGAUUGAAUGAGCCGAUGUCGGAUUAGCUAGUUGGCGGGGUAAAGGCCCACCAAGGCGACGAUCCGUAGCUGGUCUGAGAGGAUGAUCGGCCACACUGGAACUGAGACACGGUCCAGACUCCUACGGGAGGCAGCAGUGGGGAAUAUUGGACAAUGGGCGAAAGCCUGAUCCAGCCAUACCGCGUGGGUGAAGAAGGCCUUCGGGUCGUAAAGCCCUGUUGUUGGGGAAGAACAGCAGCAGGUUUAUCUCCCGCUGUUCUGACGGUACCUAAAGAAUAAGCACCGGCUAACUUCGUG
rnacentral:rRNA from 1 species